rnacentral:rRNA from 1 species
UUUAGUGAGCUGACCCUUAUUUGUUAAGAACCCAACAAUUAAUGUUUCAAUAUUACUGCAAAAAUAAUAGUCAGAGGCUACAUACCUAUCGCGCUAAAAUAUAGCUGGUUUUUCACCCUACCAGCUUAAGCUGCUCAAGCUGACCAUCAAACCCUCCCCCUAUAUCAGCUAUGAAAAUAAAUCAAGGACAAGCCUGAUUUACUACCUUAUUUCACACCAAAAUUACCACCCCUAUGUAGGCUUAAAAACAGCCACCAUCAUAUAUCGUUAUAGCACACCACCCAAAAAAAUAAAAAAAAAAUAAAACCCUGUGAACUAACUUUCCAACAACACCCUCUCUCCUCCUCUGCAAAGAUCAGUAUUCCCUCCAUACCUGUGGUGAAGGAACUCGGCAAUCCCCUAUUCCGCCUGUUUAACAAAAACAUCGCCUGUAGUCUUCCUUAUUACAGGUCCACCCUGCCCAGUGUAAAUAUAUUAACGGCCGCGGUACCCUGACCGUGCAAAGGUAGCAUAAUAACUUGCCUUUUAAUUGGAGGCUGGCAUGAAUGGGCAAACGAGAAUAUAACUGUCUCCACCACACCCCUAAAAAUUUAUCUUCAGGUGAAGAAGCCUGAAUCAAUAUAAAAGACAAGAAGACCCUGUCGAGCUUUAAUCUAAUAGCUAGGCUACGGCUAAUACUUUAUAUGCCACCCCUUCUACAUGAUUUUUGUUGGGGCGACAACGGACCAAAUUCAUCUUCCGCUAAACACUAGACUCUUAGUCACCCAAAAGAUCCUAUAACAGAUCACAAGAAAAAGCUACCGCAGGGAUAACAGACUAAUCUCCCCCCGGAGCCCAAAUCUACGGGGAGGCUUGGCACCUCGAUGUUGGCUUAGGGAUUCCCUUAAAUGAAGCAGUUAAGAAGUGGGU